rnacentral:lncRNA from 1 species
UGAUUGUACCAGGCCUCUAUGUGGCCCUAUUUGUACUUUGUUUCAGGCUCUACUCCAAGAAGACCUCAACUCUGUAUCCAUCUUAGCAGCUUCUUGCUGCGGGUAAUAAAUUUUAUCGCAAUUGUCAAAAAAAACAUGGUUUUGGUUUUUUUUCCUUAAACGCAUACCAUUACUAGUUGACUUGCGGCUAGUAGCUCUUCUUCUCAGCCCUAGUGUUGCAUGGCUUUAUUUCACCAGUGAAGCUGUUUUUGUUUGCUUCAGCUCUAUAAACGGCUCUAUCGAUAAAGUUGAAGCCGUUUGAUGAAUCGUUUAGCAAAAUAGCUCAAUGUAUAGAGUUUUUUAAAAUAUACUCUCACGAAAUGCCACAUAGGAUGAGGUGA